AAAGAGAGAGGGAGAGAGAGAGGUAGAGAAAGGUGCGCGCGCGCGCGCUCAAGCGAGUGGCCGGCCGAGCGAGAACGCACAUAGUACGCCGCGUACGGAUUGGAAUGGAACGCGUCGCGGACCUCGACGACGAAGGAAGUGUUGGGGUAAUAAAGAAAGAGAGAUAUAGCUGAGUGACAGAAAAAUAAGUGAAAGGGAAGGAAGAUUCGUGUUAUGGAAGAGAAACGAGAAACAGGAUCACCACCCGAGUGGAUAACGGACGAAUGGGUGUCGUCCUCCUGCUUAAAAAGGAAGGAUCGUGUCGGGGACACUUGUGAAUUUAGUGUAUUAUCAUAGUACGAAGGACUUUCAUUUGUCCUUCUAUUACAAAACUCGCCUCUGGAGCUUGCGAUAUUGCGAGACACGAGAGCGUGAAAUUAGAGGGAGAAAAAAAAAUGGUUGGAUUUUGUUGGAGGGAUGAUCAUAGGAGAGGACCGACAACAACAACGGGGCAAACAAAACUAGCGUAGCGUUCGAUAGAUUGCGAUUUUUCGAAGAGGAAGAAGAAGAAGAAGACGACGACAAAGAGGGAGGAGGAGGAGGAGGAAGAAGCAAAAGAAGAGGAGGAGGUGGUGGUGUGUUGGAGAAGAGAGGAGAGGAGAGGAAGAAGAAAAACGGGGAGAUUCGUGGUA
rnacentral:lncRNA from 1 species